AUUGAACGCUGGCGGCAUGCUUUACACAUGCAAGUCGAACGGUAACAGGCCUUCGGGUGCUGACGAGUGGCGAACGGGUGAGUAAUGCAUCGGAACGUGCCCAAUCGUGGGGGAUAACGUAGCGAAAGUUACGCUAAUACCGCAUAAGCCCUGAGGGGGAAAGCAGGGGAUCGCAAGACCUUGCGCGAAUGGAGCGGCCGAUGUCAGAUUAGCUAGUUGGUGAGGUAAAGGCUCACCAAGGCGACGAUCAGUAGCGGGUCUGAGAGGAUGAUCCGCCACACUGGGACUGAGACACGGCCCAGACUCCUACGGGAGGCAGCAGUGGGGAAUUUUGGACAAUGGGGGCAACCCUGAUCCAGCCAUGCCGCGUGUGUGAAGAAGGCCUUCGGUUGUAAGCACUUAAGUACGAGGAGGAAGGUUUUAGUUUAAGUUACUACU
rnacentral:rRNA from 1 species